rnacentral:rRNA from 1 species
AUUGAACGCUGGCGGCAUGCCUUACACAUGCAAGUCGAACGGCAGCACGGGUGCUUGCACCUGGUGGCGAGUGGCGCACGGGUGAGUAAUACAUCGGAACAUGUCCUGUAGUGGGGGAUAGCCCGGCGAAAGCCGGAUUAAUACCGCAUACGAUCUACGGAUGAAAGCGGGGGACCUUCGGGCCUCGCGCUAUAGGGUUGGCCGAUGGCGGAUUAGCUAGUUGGUGGGGUAAAGGCCUACCAAGGCGACGAUCAGUAGCUGGUCUGAGAGGACGACCAGUCACACUGGGACUGAGACACGGCCCAGACUCCUACGGGAGGCAGCAGUGGGGAAUUUUGGACAAUGGGCGAAAGCCUGAUCCAGCAAUGCCGCGUGUGUGAAGAAGGCCUUCGGGUUGUAAAGCACUUUUGUCCGGAAAGAAAGCCUGGGCCCUAAUACGGUCGGGGGAUGACGGUACCGGAAGAAUAAGCACCGGCUAACUACGUG